rnacentral:rRNA from 1 species
AGAGUUUGAUCAUGGCUCAGAUUGAACGCUGGCGGAAUGCUUUACACAUGCAAGUCGAACGGCAGCACGGGGCAACCUGGUGGCGAGUGGCGAACGGGUGAGUAAUAUAUCGGAACGUGCCCAAUCGUGGGGAUAACGUAGCGAAAGUUACGCUAAUACCGCAUACGAUCUACGGAUGAAAGCGGGGGAUCGCAAGACCUCGCACGAAUGGAGCGGCCGAUAUCAGAUUAGGUAGUUGGUGGGGUAAAGGCUCACCAAGCCAACGAUCUGUAGCUGGUCUGAGAGGACGACCAGCCACACUGGAACUGAGACACGGUCCAGACUCCUACGGGAGGCAGCAGUGGGGAAUUUUGGACAAUGGGCGCAAGCCUGAUCCAGCCAUUCCGCGUGCAGGAUGAAGGCCUUCGGGUUGUAAACUGCUUUUGUACGGAACGAAACGGUCUGCCCUAAUACGGUGGGCUAAUGACGGUACCGUAAGAAUAAGCACCGGCUAACUACGUG